rnacentral:RNase_P_RNA from 1 species
CCAGACGGCUGGAUGGCCGCCCUUCGCACCGGGGAAACCCAGCGGGGGGAGGAAAGUCCGGGCUCCAUGGAAGCACGGUGCCGGUUAAUGGCCGGCGGGGGCGACCCUAGGGAAAGUGCCACAGAAAGCAAACCGCCGCUGCGGCUUCGGCCCCAUCGGUAAGGGUGAAAGGGUGCGGUAAGAGCGCACCGCGUCCCCGGCAACGGGGACGGCACGGUAAACCCCACCGGGAGCAAGACCGAAUAGGGGCGACCGGUCGGGACUCUUCGGAGUUGCCGGCAGGCGGGUUUCCGCGUCGUCGCCCGGGUAGGUCGCGUGAGGCGUCCGGUAACGGACGUCCCAGACGAAUGGCCAUCCAUCGCCCUUCGGGGCGGGGACAGGACCCGGCUUACAGGCCGUCUGGCGCA